GACGAACGCUGGCGGCGUGCUUAACACAUGCAAGUCGAACGGUAAGGCCCUUCGGGGUACACGAGUGGCGAACGGGUGAGUAACACGUGGGUGAUCUGCCCUGCACUUCGGGAUAAGCCUGGGAAACUGGGUCUAAUACCGGAUAGGACCACUGCCUGCAUGGGUGGUGGUGGAAAGCUUUUGCGGUGUGGGAUGGGCCCGCGGCCUAUCAGCUUGGUGGUGGGGUGAUGGCCUACCAAGGCGACGACGGGUAGCCGGCCUGAGAGGGUGACCGGCCGCACUGGGACUGAGAUACGGCCCAGACUCCUACGGGAGGCAGCAGUGGGGAAUAUUGCACAAUGGGCGCAAGCCUGAUGCAGCGACGCCGCAUGAGGGAUGACGGCCUUCGGGUUGUAAACCUCUUUCAGCACCGACGAAGCGCAAGUGACGGUAGGUGCAGAAGAAGGACCGGCCAACUACGUGCCAGCCGCCGCCGUAAAAC
rnacentral:rRNA from 1 species